rnacentral:rRNA from 1 species
UACGUAGGGUGCAAGCGUUGUCCGGAAUUAUUGGGCGUAAAGAGCUCGUAGGCGGCCUGUCGCGUCGACUGUGAAAACCCAGGGCUCAACCCUGGGCCUGCAGUCGAUACGGGCAGGCUAGAGUGCAGUAGGGGAGACUGGAAUUCCUGGUGUAGCGGUGAAAUGCGCAGAUAUCAGGAGGAACACCGGUGGCGAAGGCGGGUCUCUGGGCCGAUACUGACGCUGAGGAGCGAAAGCGUGGGGAGCGAUCAGG